GGUCUCGUAGUAUAGCGGUUUAUUACGUUCAACCCCCGGUACGACCCCCUAUACAGUGGAGAAAUCCUUCUAUAGUGGCCUAGCCCAUGGAAACAUGGAGCCGAAGAUUGAAAGAACUGCGUUCAACUCGCAGCGGGACCA